CCUACGGUGGGCUGCAGUGGGGAAUAUUGGACAAUGGGCGAAAGCCUGAUCCAGCCAUGCCGCGUGUGUGAAGAAGGCCUUCGGGUUGUAAAGCACUUUCAGUGGGGAAGAAAGCCUUGGGGCUAAUACCCUCGAGGAAGGACAUCACCCACAGAAGAAGCACCGGCUAACUCCGUGCCAGCAGCCGCGGUAAUACGGAGGGUGCGAGCGUUAAUCGGAAUUACUGGGCGUAAAGCGCGCGUAGGCGGUCUGAUAAGCCGGUUGUGAAAGCCCCGGGCUCAACCUGGGAACGGCAUCCGGAACUGUCAGGCUAGAGUGCAGGAGAGGAAGGUAGAAUUCCCGGUGUAGCGGUGAAAUGCGUAGAGAUCGGGAGGAAUACCAGUGGCGAAGGCGGCCUUCUGGACUGACACUGACGCUGAGGUGCGAAAGCGUGGGUAGCAAACAGGAUUAGAUACCCUUAGUAGUC
rnacentral:rRNA from 1 species